GGAAGUUGGCCUUGGAUGCGGACUGCCGGAAGUGCUGCUCGAUGUACUUGGGCUUGUAGGUGACCAUGCCGAUGAGAGAGUUCAGCUGAAUGAUUAUCACACACAGAUGUAAUGGCUGUUUAAUGAAGCUUUUCUGCUCUGGUGGGCACUUCGCUGACUCCUGGGGGCCAGAGUCGGGCAGGGAACGGGCGUUCAACGUUAUUCCAGAUCUGGUGCCACCUGGCUGCUCCACUGUGAACUGUGCACAGAAUUUAACAAGAAAUCCCAUUGGGAUCCAUCGCC